rnacentral:lncRNA from 1 species
GGGUAAGUAUCCAUGGUCCCUUUACCUAAAAGGUAAUGUAAGCGGUCCCAAGAAACCAUGUCUUGUUUUUUGUAUUAGACCUCGAGAAAUACGACACUGGACCCUAUCUAUGGUACACCAUUGAUCCAUGAAAACUUUAUGGUAUGGUGCUAGGAUUGGCAGAUUUCUGAAGGUGCCACCUCCUUGUGUCUGACUUAAAUUUACUUCUCC